rnacentral:rRNA from 1 species
UACGGGGGGGGCAAGCGUUGUUCGGAAUUACUGGGCGUAAAGGGCUCGUAGGUGGCCAACUAAGUCGGACGUGAAAUCCCUCAGCUUAACUGGGGAACUGCGUCCGAUACUGGAUGGCUUGAGUUUGGGAGAGGGAUGCGGAAUUCCAGGUGUAGCGGUGAAAUGCGUAGAUAUCUGGAGGAACACCGAUGGCGAAGGCAGGUCUCUGGGCAUUAACUGACGCUGAGGAGCGAAAGCAUGGGGAGCGAACAGG